ensembl:lncRNA
AAACUGACAUGAAUUAAAAGGGUGAUUAUUUAUUUUGCCUUGCCUGCAGCAUGUGAAAGUUUCCAGGCCGGGAACCGAACCCUCGCCACAGCAGGGACCAAAGCCAAUGCUGUGCAAUGCCGGACCUUAACCCGCUGCACCACAAGAGAAUCCCUGAUGUAACUUUUCUUGAAAUGCAAAUGUUAUUCGACUCUCCCAUCGCAUUUUCCUCUUUUUACCUCUUCUUCCUCCCAGGAGGCCCACGUACCUGUCAUAUUGCUUCUUUCCUGAAAUAAAUGCCGUCAUGUAUGACUCUCACAGGUCAUUGCUGAAUCACUAGAAAUUAACAGCGGACAUCAUCAGUAGCCCGAAAGGCUCGAACUAUGUAAAGUACUAUGUAAAUAUUAUUAUUAUCUUGUUUCAUGCACAGUUCAAGCUCUGUGCUAAAAUAUUCCUUUCCUUUCCUCCUGGGAAACAGGAACCACAGGUAUUCUGUGCAUAUUGACCUUUUAUUAUUAAUGUUGCUCUCACAACAUCCGUUUGCCAUCCAGUAUUUUAAAAUACCCAGCUAUGUCCCUGGCACCAGGACAUAGAAGGCAGGGACACAGUCUUUAAAAAAUGGUAUUCAUGACAUGAAGCAAAAUAUUGUUUUGUUUCUCCACAAGAGCCUUUAUGACACAUCUCUGCAGUUGUUCAGUUGGAGUUGACUGGAGAUUUGUUUUCAUGAAAUGUAAUUAGUUUUUCUUUUGUCAUAAGCACUGUCAGACUGUAUAUUAUUUUUUUCCUGGGUAAGUGUGGCUUGUAAGAUCUUGAAAGCUUGUUCCAAUGGAAAAUAGGGAAGCUGAUAUAUCUAGCAGUGAGUAAAAAACUUUUUUUUCAUUCCCUAAAGCUCCAUUCACAUUACAUAUUUGAUCUAGCGUCAGCUUUGAGAAUCUGUAUUAUGAUAUCUUUAGAGGUUUACGUAGCUAGCAGAAUCUCAUAGGAUGUCAAAAUUUUGUUUGUGUGUGAGAUUGAAGGAAGACGCCAAGGGAAGUGGGCCUGGCCAGCAACGAUUUUUUUCUUAGGAAAACAUUCACACACACACACACACACAACUGGAAAGCAUACGUGGUAAGAAUAAAAUGCAAAUAUUUUCGUCCCAUACGUAUUUCUGGUAACAAAACAAACCCAAAAAACAUCAAAACGGAACAACCUAAAUGUCCAAUACAGGAAUUAUUAAAUAAAUGAGAAAUGGUGUAGCCAUUAAAAAUUAUGUUUAGUAAAAUACGGAGUGAGAUGGGGAAAUGUUCAUUAUUUAAGAGGGAAACAGGGUAUACAGCGAUAAAGAAUAGUAUGUUCCGUGUACAUGCAGAACGCCAAAAGAACAGUGCAUGUUUCUGGACGAUGAAUUUAUGGGUAAGUUUUAUCUUCUUUAAUAUAUCCGUAUUUUAUAUCCUUUCUACAUGAGCAUAUGCUACCUUUAUACUGUAGGAAAAUAGCAAAUAGUAUUUAAAGUAAGCACGGUGAAAAAGCCUCAUAUGUCAUGUCUUUCGACCGUAAUUUAAUUCUAACCUGGAAGAGGUAGCAUGAUGUAGUGAUUAGAGUAGACAAUUGAAAACAGACAGGGAGGAGUUCCCGCUGUGGCUCAGUGGAAACGAACUGACUAGUAUCCAUGAAGAUGUGGGUUCGAUCCCUGGCCUCACUCAGUGGGUGAAGGAUCCAGCCGUUGCCCACGAGCUGCGGUGUGGGUCGCAGACGUGGCUCAGAUCCCGAGUUGCUGAGGCUGUGGCGUAGUCCUGCAGCUGGAGCUCCGAUGCGACCCUGGGAACUUCCCUAUGCCUCACAUGCAGCCCUAAAAAUACAAGAAGGAAGGAAGGAAGGAAGGAAGGAAGCAGACAGGGAAAGAUUGUGUCCUAAUUUUGCCACCGAGUCAUUGUUUGACUUCGCCUCAGGUUUCCUACCUGUAAAAUGGGACUAAUUAAUACUUUCUUGUAAAAUGCUUUUGAGUUCUCCAAGGACAGAUCCUGUAAAGGGGCAAUGUAUGGGUCUAUUAAUGCUAAUUGAAGUCAUAUAAAGUCCAAAGGUGUUUGAGAGACAUUGUGGUCAUUAUGGUCGGUCAAGUGGAGGAAGGCACAACAGAUGAGGCCAGAUGCCAAAGUGGCUGUGCAGGAUUCUGUGUUUUUUAAAGAAGUUUGGAGGGGGCAGAUAAGGAUGUCACCCCUAAUGCUGCUGUGGCCGCUGUUCGAUCACCAGUCACUAUCUGUUGGCAAGGCACUGCAUCAGACAUGCCAAAGAAACACAGAAGCAGUGGACAAGGUCCCUGUCCCUCCCCCCCGCCUUUUUUUUUUUUUUUUUUUUUGCAGGAACAUGCAGGUGUUCCUGGGCCAGGCCUGUGCCACAGCAGCAUCCUGAGCCACAGCUGUGACAAUGCUGGAUCCUUAACCCACUGAGCCACCAGGGAACUCCAAGGUCCUUGCCCUUAGAAGCUUACAAUUUUGUUGCAAUUUGAGCAAUAACAUGUGAAAAACAAAAACCCAAUGACUCAACUUGAGCAGAAGAAAAUAUCCAGGAACAGAACUGAUGAAAGGCGGAUAUGUGCCAUAGUUAGUGUUGAUCUGAGCCAUGAACUGCGAUUCGUUCUGAGUUCACAUGAGCAAAAAAUUUCAGAAAUGAUGGGAUGUUGGAUGGGGCAGGAUGUGAGAGAGAGAUGGAGGGGACUGGGGCUCAGGAAGUGCAUGCACAAUGCAGCAUAGACUAAGCUCAGACAAAGAGGGGACAUGGUGAGUGGGCUGUUUCAGCUGGGAGCCCAGGAGGUGGAGAGCAGGCUGGCAUCUUAAAGGCCGGCCACAUGGGAAGAUGCUGGUGGCAUCGCUGAAGAGACACAUGGGAGCCUGCCAUGUUGGAGGAUGAGCCGCGGUGGUGCCAGGUGACACACAGUUCCUGCAAGUGACCCAUUCCCACGUGAGUGCCCAUUUCCAACUCUCUGUGUCAAAAAAACACCCUUGCGGAGUUCCCACUGUGGCUUAGCAGUUAACAAACCCAAUUAGUAUCCAUGAGGACUCCGGGUUCGAUGCCUGCCCUUGCCCAGUGGGUUAAGGAUCCCGUGUUGCCCUGAGCUGUGGUGUAGGCCGGCAGCUGUAGCUCUGAUAUGACCCCU